rnacentral:rRNA from 1 species
ACAGUUCGGUCCCUAUCUGUUGUGGGCGCAGGAGAUUUGAGAGGAGCUGCUCUUAGUACGAGAGGACCGGAGUGGACGAACCUCUGGUGUUCCGGUUGUCGCGCCAGCGGCACCGCCGGGUAGCUACGUUCGGAAGAGAUAACCGCUGAAAGCAUCUAAGCGGGAAACUCGCCUCAAGAGAGAUCUCCCGGGCAUUUAUGCCCCUUAAGGUCACAGAAAGACGAUCUGUUUGAUAGGCUGGAAAUGGAAGCAUGGCAACAUGCGUAGUUGACCAGUACUAAGCGACCGUGCGAUUUGACUUC